UAGCUACUCGGGAUAUGCUGUCUUU
rnacentral:miRNA from 1 species